ACAGUAGAGAGUCCUUCCUCCUCAGAAAUUGAAGAGGUCGAAGAUUCCUCAGAAAGUGUUCAGGAAGAGCCAGAGAAAAUCAGUUUGAAACAAGAAGCAUUGCAGGCCUUCAUGCCCACUCAUUGACAAGCAUGAUCCUGGAUGAUGAAGGUGUUUUGGGCAGCACUGAGAAUUCUUUUCAGAAGUUCCAUGCUUUCUUGGAUCUCCUUAAAGAUGCUGGUUUCAGAAAAUUACAGGUGAUGCUGGGCUUCCUUUGCCUCUCGACUCCUUCCAUGUCCCAGUCUCUACUCAGGAGGCCUUAGAAACUUCCAAAGACAA